GGCUUCGUGGUCGAGUGGUAAGGACACUUGUCUCUCACACUGGAGGCCUGAGUUUGAUUCCCGAUCGAGGAGCUA